rnacentral:lncRNA from 1 species
GUCAAUUGUUUGCUGAUCAGUGCUCUUAUAAUGGUAGAAUUAUAUGAUUUUUUAAAAUGUUAUUUUUCUUAAUUUUUCAAAAAACUAAAAUACAUCAAUUUUCAAUAAGUAGUUAAAAAGCAACGUCAAUUUUGCGGAGUCUUACAAGAAUGUCGUACUUGCUUAAAAACAACGUUUCAGUCGAAUUUUUGGUUUGAACGUUACGAAAUAUUCG